rnacentral:rRNA from 1 species
UGGGGAAUAUUGGACAAUGGGCGAAAGCCUGAUCCAGCCAUGCCGCGUGUGUGAAGAAGGCCUUUUGGUUGUAAAGCACCUUAAGUGGGGAGGAAAAGCUUGUGGUUAAUACCCAUAAGCCCUGACGUUACCCACAGAAUAAGCACCGGCUAACUCUGUGCCAGCAGCCGCGGUAAUACAGAGGGUGCAAGCGUUAAUCGGAAUUACUGGGCGUAAAGCGCGCGUAGGUGGUUAUUUAAGUCAGAUGUGAAAGCCCCGGGCUUAACCUGGGAACUGCAUCUGAUACUGGAUAACUAGAGUAGGUGAGAGGGGAGUAGAAUUCCAGGUGUAGCGGUGAAAUGCGUAGAGAUCUGGAGGAAUACCGAUGGCGAAGGCAGCUCCCUGGCAUCAUACUGACACUGAGGUGCGAAAGCGUGGGUAGCAAACAGGAUUAGAUACCCUGGUAGUCCACGCCGUAAACGAUGUCUACCAGUCGUUGGGUCUUUUAAAGACUUAGUGACGCAGUUAACGCAAUAAGUAGACCGCCUGGGGAGUACGGCCGCAAGGUUA